rnacentral:rRNA from 1 species
UUAAGUGACUAAGCGUACACGGUGGAUGCCUAGGCAGUCAGAGGCGAUGAAGGACGUGCUAAUCUGCGAUAAGCGUCGGUAAGCUGAUAUGAAGCGUUAUAACCGACGAUUUCCGAAUGGGGAAACCCAGUGCAAUUCGUUGCACUAUCGUUAAGUGAAUACAUAGCUUAACGAAGCGAACCAGGGGAACUGAAACAUCUAAGUACCCUGAGGAAAAGAAAUCAACCGAGAUUCCCCUAGUAGCGGCGAGCGAACGGGGAGCAGCCCAGAACCUUAAUCAGCGUAUGUGUCAGAGGAACGGUCUGGAAAGUCCGGCGAUACAGGGUGAUAGCCCCGUACUUGAAAAUGCAUAUGUUGUGAGUUCGAUGAGUAGGGCGGGACACGUGACAUCCUGUCUGAAUAUGGGGGGACCAUCCUCCAAGGCUAAAUACUCCUGACUGACCGAUAGUGAACCAGUACCGUGAGGGAAAGGCGAAAAGAACCCCGGCGAGGGGAGUGAAAUAGAACCUGAAACCGUGUACGUACAAGCAGUGGGAGCCUCUUUUAUGGGGUGACUGCGUACCUUUUGUAUAAUGGGUCAGCGACUUAUAUUUUGUAGCAAGGUUAACCGAAUAGGGGAGCCGUAGGGAAACCGAGUCUUAACUGGGCGUCAAGUUGCAAGGUAUAGACCCGAAACCCGGUGAUCUAGCCAUGGGCAGGUUGAAGGUGGGUAACACUAACUGGAGGACCGAACCGACUAAUGUUGAAAAAUUAGCGGAUGACUUGUGGCUGGGGGUGAAAGGCCAAUCAAACCGGGAGAUAGCUGGUUCUCCCCGAAAGCUAUUUAGGUAGCGCCUCGUGAACUCAUCUUCGGGGGUAGAGCACUGUUUCGACUAGGGGGUCAUCCCGACUUACCAACUCGAUGCAAACUACGAAUACCGAAGAAUGUUAUCACGGGAGACACACGGCGGGUGCUAACGUCCGUCGUGAAGAGGGAAACAACCCAGACCGCCAGCUAAGGUCCCAAAGUCAUAGUUAAGUGGGAAACGAUGUGGGAAGGCAUAGACAGCCAGGAUGUUGGCUUAGAAGCAGCCAUCAUUUAAAGAAAGCGUAAUAGCUCACUGGUCGAGUCGGCCUGCGCGGAAGAUGUAACGGGGCUAAACUAUGCACCGAAGCUGCGGCAGCGACACAUUGUGUUGUUGGGUAGGGGAGCGUUCUGUAAGCCGUUGAAGGUGGCUCGUGAGGGUUGCUGGAGGUAUCAGAAGUGCGAAUGCUGACAUAAGUAACGAUAAAGCGGGUGAAAAACCCGCUCGCCGGAAGACCAAGGGUUCCUGUCCAACGUUAAUCGGGGCAGGGUGAGUCGACCCCUAAGGCGAGGCCGAAAGGCGUAGUCGAUGGGAAACAGGUUAAUAUUCCUGUACUCCGGUGUUACUGCGAAGGGGGGACGGAGAAGGCUAGGCUAUCCGGGCGACGGUUGUCCCCGGUUUAAGCGUGUAGGGGGAAAGCGUUGGUAAAUCCGUGCUUUUAUUAACCCUGAGGCGUGAUGACGAGUCACUACGGUGAUGAAGUAGUUGAUGCCAAGCUUCCAGGAAAAGCCUCUAAGCUCUAGGUAACAUUGAAUCGUACCCCAAACCGACACAGGUGGUCAGGUAGAGAAUACCAAGGCGCUUGAGAGAACUCGGUGAAGGAACUAGGCAAAAUGGUGCCGUAACUUCGGGAGAAGGCACGCUGGCGCGUAGGUGAAGUCCCUUGCGGAUGGAGCUGAAGCCAGUCGAAGAUACCAGCUGGCUGCAACUGUUUAAUAAAAACACAGCACUGUGCAAACACGAAAGUGGACGUAUACGGUGUGACGCCUGCCCGGUGCUGGAAGGUUAAUUGAUGGGGUCAGCCGCAAGGCGAAGCUCUUGAUCGAAGCCCCAGUAAACGGCGGCCGUAACUAUAACGGUCCUAAGGUAGCGAAAUUCCUUGUCGGGUAAGUUCCGACCUGCACGAAUGGCGUAAUGAUGGCCAGGCUGUCUCCACCCGAGACUCAGUGAAAUUGAACUCGCUGUGAAGAUGCAGUGUACCCGCGGCAAGACGGAAAGACCCCGUGAACCUUUACUAUAGCUUGACACUGAACAUUGAGCCUUGAUGUGUAGGAUAGGUGGGAGGCUUUGAAGCGUGGACGCCAGUCUGGAGCCAACCUUGAAAUACCACCCUUUAAUGUUUGAUGUUCUAACUCCGGUCCCUAAUCGGGAUUGAGGACAGUGUCUGGUGGGUAGUUUGACUGGGGCGGUCUCCUCCUAAAGAGUAACGGAGGAGCACGAAGGUUAGCUAAUCACGGUCGGACAUCGUGAGGUUAGUGCAAUGGCAUAAGCUAGCU